AGUAGGCGACUGACUGCCCAAGAGACCCAGGGCUCCGCAAGGAGACGGCGCAGGUGUCGGGGCUCCCCGCAGGCCGGGAAAAAGUGUCCGAACGCCUCGUGGACUGCAGCGGGGGAAAUGUCCCUUAAAAGUGCGACGAAGUGGGGAAGAAGGUGUAAUUACUAUUAUCAGCAUCUAGAAAGCAUCAUGAAUUUGCUGGAGUACUUCCUAGCACUGACCUCCUUCAUUCUGCGUUGUUCUUACUGGAUCUUUCCAUCAGCCAACAAUAUGGAAGUACCAAUACAAGGUCAAAUCAUUCCUGGAUUCAUCUGGAGUUGCUUAAAAGUUAAAUCAUUGGAAUUUUUGAUGAUACCUUUUCUAUAUGGAUUACAAUUUGAUCGCUGGGAAUUCUCCACCUUAAAGAAGGUCAUUAACGGAAAAAUGUAGUCUAUGAUGCAGCAGAGCUCUGCCCUUUUUAUUUUAAUACAUUUUAAAUAUAUCACAAUUGUCUGCACUCUGAUAAAAGAAUGUAGAGCUGGAAUUUUAAUUUGAUUAUCAUCCCCAAUCUUCCCAGGCUUUCGCAGACUCUUUUGCUAUCUGGAAACCCAUGUCCACCUCUGACUUCCACUCAAAAUUGCUUUCCUCACAGUCUGACUGCGAGAGUUGUGAAAAAUUGGGAUGUGCUUCUGAGGUGGGCUGUGGAAUGCCAUAAUUACCACUUUUUUCUGCUUGCGAUUCAUAAAGGUAAGAAGGACAAACUUAGUCUGUUUUGUAGUGGAAUUGUUAUUUUUUUUUAACCUUAUCUUUUAUUUUCCAUGUAAAAUUGCUUUUCCCUCUUUAACUACCUCGCAUAGACAGGGCAGGUAGAGUGAAUGUCAGAUGAAUUAAGGUAGCACUGAACUCCUUAUUUAGCCUGUCAAUAGCUGCAU
rnacentral:lncRNA from 10 species